GUGCUACAUCCAGCCAUUAAUCAGAACCAAACACAGAUCCAUAGUGCUACAUCCAGCCGUUAAUCAGAACCAAACACAGAUCCAUAGUGCUACAUCCAGCCGUUAAUCAGAACCAAACACAGAUCCAUAGUGCUACAUCCAGCCAUUAAUCAGAACCAAACACAGAUCCAUAGUGCUACAUCCAGCCAUUAAUCAGAACCAAACACAGAUCCAUAGUGCUACAUCCAGCCAUUAAUCAGAACCAAACACAGAUCCAUAGCGCUAUAUCCAGCCAUUAAUCAGAACCAAACACAGAUCCAUAGUGCUACAUCCAGCUGUUAAUCAGAACCAAACACAGAUCCAUAGUGCUACAUCCAGCCGUUAAUCAGAACCAAACACAGAUCCAUAGUGCUACAUCCAGCCGUUAAUCAGAACCAAACACAGAUCCAUAGCGCUACAUCCAGCCGUUAAUCAGAACCAAACACAGAUCCAUAGUGCUACAUCCAGCCGUUAAUCAGAACCAAACACAGAUCCAUAGUGCUACAUCCAGCCGUUAAUCAGAACCAAACACAGAUCCAUAGUGCU